UCUUGAUAUUGAAAUUGUUUAAUCAUUUUAGAUGGGUUUGGGUUUAAUAAUGUAAAUAUUUUGUUGGGGUGACAGGAAGAUAAUAAAAACUAUUUUUAUAAAGUUAACAUUGAUGUAUGAUUAAAUGAUCCGUGAUAGCGAUUAAAAGACUAAGU
rnacentral:rRNA from 1 species